UACGGAGGGAGCUAGCGUUGUUCGGAAUUACUGGGCGUAAAGCGCACGUAGGCGGCUUUGUAAGUUAGAGGUGAAAGCCCGGGGCUCAACUCCGGAACUGCCUUUAAGACUGCAUCGCUUGAAUCCAGGAGAGGUGAGUGGAAUUCCGAGUGUAGAGGUGAAAUUCGUAGAUAUUCGGAAGAACACCAGUGGCGAAGGCGGCUUACUGGUCCGGAACUGACGCUGAGGUGCGAAAGCGUGGGGAGCAAACAGG
rnacentral:rRNA from 1 species